rnacentral:rRNA from 1 species
CCUACGGGUGGCAGCAGUGAGGAAUAUUGGUCAAUGGACGAGAGUCUGAACCAGCCAAGUAGCGUGAAGGAUGACUGCCCUAUGGGUUGUAAACUUCUUUUAUACGGGAAUAAAAUGAGCUACGUGUGGCUGUUUGUAUGUACCGUAUGAAUAAGGAUCGGCUAACUCCGUGCCAGCAGCCGCGGUAAUACGGAGGAUUCGAGCGUUAUCCGGAUUUAUUGGGUUUAAAGGGAGCGUAGGUGGUCUGUUAAGUCAGUUGUGAAAGUUUGGGGCUCAACCGUGGAAUUGCAGUUGAUACUGGCAGCCUUGAGUGCAGUUGAGGUAGGCGGAAUUCGUGGUGUAGCGGUGAAAUGCUUAGAUAUCACGAAGAACUCCGAUUGCGAAGGCAGCUUACUAAGCUGCAACUGACAUUGAGGCUCGAAAGUGUGGGUAUCAAACAGGAUUAGAUACCCCGGUAGUC